GAGUUUGAUCGUGGCUCAGGACGAACGCUGGCGGCGUGCCUAAUACAUGCAAGUCGAGCGAGUCUGCCUUGAAGAUCGGAGUGCUUGCACUCUGUGAAACAAGAUACAGGCUAGCGGCGGACGGGUGAGUAACACGUGGGUAACCUGCCCAAGAGAUCGGGAUAACACCUGGAAACAGAUGCUAAUACCGGAUAACAACAGAUGAUGCCUAUCAACUGUUUAAAAGAUGGUUCUGCUAUCACUCUUGGAUGGACCUGCGGUGCAUUAGCUAGUUGGUAGGGUAACGGCCUACCAAGGCGAUGAUGCAUAGCCGAGUUGAGAGACUGAUCGGCCACAUUGGGACUGAGACACGGCCCAAACUCCUACGGGAGGCAGCAGUAGGGAAUCUUCCACAAUGGACGCAAGUCUGAUGGAGCAACGCCGCGUGAGUGAAGAAGGGUUUCGGCUCGUAAAGCUCUGUUGUUGGUGAAGAAGGACAGGGGUAGUAAC
rnacentral:rRNA from 1 species